GGAACCAUCAGGAAGAUAAGGAAACCUUGGCUGAGACCCACAAGCACGUGAUCCUCUCUUUUCUAUUAUUAUUUCUACGCUUCUGAAUCAUCUAUAGAGAGAUUCUUGAGAAGGGAAAGAAUAGGACAUCUAUUCUCAUGGAAGAAUAAAACAUUACCCUCUGGAGACAACCAGGCUGGACAGGGGGCAGAGUGAACACGUCUCUCCAAAGAUCUCAGAUAUCAGUUUUCCAGGUAUGUUCGAGGGCUCCACGGUAUCUGCCAAACACAGUAACCAGGGCACGAGGCCUGGAUACUGAGUUCAGUCUCAACUACAGCAAGGUGCGCGAGCACCGCUUCACCAGCCGUGAACAGGUAUCUUGGACAGGACUGAUCUGAGGACAGUGCUGAGGUCUUGAGAGUCUUGGAGUGGGGCGCUGGACUCGGAAACAGAGGACCACCUGACAGAGUCAGAGUCACCCAUUGUUCUGAGAAUGUGUGCGUUUUUGAGCAGAGGAACAAUGACAAAAGAUCCGGGUGAAUCUCAGUUCAAAAAUCCUUAUGUGCUUCAAAAAGGAAAACAAAAUAUUUUCAUCCACCUUAAAAAUUCGUGAAAAGAAAAACCACAGAGCUCUGUUAGUGAAAUGCCAAAAGGCAUAUUAUGUAUGGACACCGAGAAUCUGAUGCUUGUCUAGAGAGGAGAGACUGAGAAUUGGGCUUCAAGUCUUCAUUUUUUCUGUGUCUCAUCAUCAAAAGGAGCCAAAGCAGAGAAGUGGGAGUAGGGAGAGGACUGGAGCUUUGAAAGCUUGCAGAGGUUGCCUGGAACCACUGGAAGAGGUCUGGGAUGUGACACCGCUUCUGCAAAGGGAUUCGAUCAGCCCUGAGAUUUGGGAGAAACUGGAGUACCAUCUUUCUAAAAGUUUCAUGCAGUAAGAGAGUGGCCUGCCCUGCAGAACCCAAGAGCCUCAGAAAGAGAUGCAGACUCAGGGUGAUUCCCCAAGGCCUUGUCAAGGCACUGGUCAAGAAGGGGCCCUCAAGUCUCUCUGGAGGUCUACGCAAAAGCAAUCCAGAUGCACAGAAGAUGAGGCUCUGGUACCCAGCAAGGAUCCCACCAGGGAAGCACUUGUGCCAGAAUGUAAAGCAAAGCGUGGGGAGGAUCCUAAAAGAUCUGUACAUGAUCUCAACCAACCCUCCAGUGCAGGUUCCAAGUACAAUGCCUGAGUUGGAAAGAGUUGAGCUCAGGCAGGAAGCAUCCAAAAGUCCUGGGGGUCCUUAUAAGCAGGAAGGGACAGCAGAUGCAUGAGUGGCAGAUCCCUGUUAAUGUCUGUUGUUCAAGGCUUGCUGCCAACCACUUCUUAGACCUUCCUGGAGAGUCAAAUGCUCUUAUGGGUACAGAAAAUGCAGGUUCCUCUCAGGAUAGGAGAGUCUCCAUAAACACCUCCCAUGAAGUCUCUUGUCCUCAGUCCUUAUAUUCAAUAGGAGCUGGAAGUGCAUAGGACAAGGUUUGGGUCAGGAACAGAUGGGUCCUAAUACCCAAGGUCCUCAAGAUCACAUUGAGCUUGAAGUUGAAAAGUACUCACUGCAUAUGCCUUCCAAGGUCCACCUUGAAGGCCCCUCUGGGGACCACCCACAAGCCCAGUUGCCAGAGGACUUGGGCAAACAUUCUCACGCCCAUCCAGGACAGACAGUGAUAACAGUGCAAGCAGUGCCCACCCUGGAGCGGCCCCUCCCUGCCCCCUACCGUGUGACUGAGGGAACCCGGGGGGGCUCUGGGAGAAACCUCAACUGGCAAGCGUCCAAAAGCCCUCAGAGGCCCCUCUGGCUGGACAGGAAGACAAGCCACCUUCUCAGGCCCCCACAUACAAAUUUGUGAGCAGAAUUCGGCACAGUGAGUCUGUUGUGGAGGCUGACAAAGGCAGCCUGGAGCCCAGUCCAAGUCCAGCAGUGUUCAUGAAUGAGCCACAGGAGGAAUCUGGGGGACAGGCCUCUCCAGGAACUUGCUCUGGUGAGACAGUCAUGGACCUCAAUGAAUGUUCCCAAUCGUCCAGAGAACAAGAGGUGAUGGACAGAGACACCACUUGGAAAGGUACUUUUGAACCUAGUCUCUUAAUCAAAUACCAAAUAAUAUAGAUAUGAGGAGAUCAUGGUAUCCAAGGUCCCAUAAAAAUCCCUCCUCGAACACAAAGUCUGUUGCCACAAAUCCAGAAGAUGUAUACUUUGAUGAACAGUUUCAUAAGCUUAAGUUCCAAGGGUUCAUAGACUGGCAGAAACAGGCUAAGGCCAGGACACUUGCCUGCUCCUUCAAGACUGUGCCGCUGGGAGGCUUCUCAAAACCUGUCACUCAGAUAUAUUCAUUGCCACAAACCCCUUCGCUUCUCAGGAAUCUCUGUGUUGUUCUGAGACCUUGUCUGGUGGAAACACGUCCAAUUCCCGCACAUGUGAUGUUACAUUGAGUGGAGAGAGCAGCCAGGGACAGCAGGAGGCCCUGAGAAAGCAGCCCCAACAUAAGAGUCAGAGCAGGAAGUUCAUCUCCACUGAUUCGAGAGAUACUAAUAGGAGGCCCAAACUAGGACAGCAUAGAAAGUGGUUGGUGGUACAGAGAGCCCUCCAGGCCCGCAGGAUGAGCCACCCUGCCCAGAAAAAGGAAUCAGCAGGGUCCCUACAAAGCAAGUCUCAACAGUUAAUCCUGAAAAAGGGACACGUUUCUUCAGAAAACCACUUCAGAGAAGGAUUAAGCAAUGGAUAUUCCCCAAUAAAGCCAAAGACCAGAACAGCCCCCUGCAAAAAGGCAAGCCUGCUGCAGACACUGCCCAGAGCCAGGGAACAGGCAAAAGAAGUCUGAUUAUGGAUGUCAAGACUGUUGAGUCUCAGGCUCUCAUGAUAGCUGUUAGACAGAUCUUAGAGAAGAUGGAGCUUCACUGUAGACCUCAUCUUCAGAGUUUCAUUAGUACAAAGCAGAACUCCAGGACCCAUAGGUUCAGCUCACUGCUACCAUAGGUUUCUCUCCAAUGAAGAGCAAAGGAGAGCGAUGAGACAAACAGCCUACCAUCAGCGAGCCACCCCCAUGGGUCACAACUGUCCUACAAAGAGGUAGUGAACCAGUCCCAGAGACUGCAGGCAGACCUUCCCACCCAGGGAGUCAGGUCCCAGGCUGGGCAGAGCCUGCCAGCACGGAUCAAGAGUGACAAGUGUCCCAGGCCGUCCCCUCCACUGUCCAAGGCACUGUCUUCUUCAGAAAUAAACCUCCUCUGGUCAAUCAGAACAUGCUUGUCACAGCUUUCCUGAAAGGAAAACUCUUCUCCAAGGGGGGAAAAAAAAAUGCAUACUGUGCAUAUGACACCUUUUUUCUCUCGUGUUAAACCAUCCUCUGUGUCCUGAAAGCU